GUGAGGAAUAUUGCGCAAUGGAGGCAACUCUGACGCAGCCAUGCCGCGUGCAGGAAGAAGGCGCUACGCGUUGUAAACUGCUUUUAACCGGGAAGAAACCCCAGGACGUGUCCUGGGUUGACGGUACCGGAGGAAUAAGCACCGGCUAACUUCGUGCCAGCAGCCGCGGUAAUACGAAGGGUGCAAGCGUUAUCCGGAUUCAUUGGGUUUAAAGGGUGCGUAGGCGGAGCGUUAAGUCAGUGGUGAAAUCCUGCAGCUUAACUGUGGACUUGCCAUUGAUACUGGCGCUCUUGAGUGCGCUUGAAGUGGGCGGAAUGUGCCGUGUAGCGGUGAAAUGCUUAGAUAUGGCACAGAACACCAAUUGCGAAGGCAGCUCACUAAGGCGAUACUGACGCUGAGGCACGAAAGCGUGGGGAUCGAACAGGAUUAGAAACCCUGGUAGUCC
rnacentral:rRNA from 1 species